AAUGAACGUUGGCGGCGUGGAUUGGGCAUGCAAGUCGUGCGGAAAGGCUCCUUCGGGAGUACUCGAGCGGCGUAAGGGAGAGUAACGCGUGGAUAUCUACCCCCUGGACUGGGAUAGCGGCGGGAAACUGCCGGUAAUACCAGAUAAUGUCUGCGGACCAAAGGUGUGAUUCCGCCGGGGGAUGAGUUCGCGUCCUAUUAGCUAGUUGGUAGGGUAAUGGCCUACCAAGGCAAAGAUGGGUACCGGGUGUGAGAGCAUGGCCCGGCUCACUGGGACUGAGACACUGCCCAGACACCUACGGGUGGCUGCAGUCGAGAAUCUUCGGCAAUGGGCGCAAGCCUGACCGAGCGACGCCGCGUGCGGGAUGAAGGCCUUCGGGUUGUAAACCGCUGUCAGAGGGGAGGAAAUGCGUGAGAGUUCUCUCUCACGUUUGACCUAUCCUCAGAGGAAGUACGGGCUAAGUUCGUGCCAGCCGCCGCCGUAAUAC
rnacentral:rRNA from 1 species